rnacentral:rRNA from 1 species
AGAGUUUGAUCCUGGCUCAGAACGAACGCUGGCGGCAGGCUUAACACAUGCAAGUCGAGCGCCCCGCAAGGGGAGCGGCAGACGGGUGAGUAACGCGUGGGAAUCUACCCAUCUCUACGGAACAACUCCGGGAAACUGGAGCUAAUACCGUAUACGUCCUUCGGGAGAAAGAUUUAUCGGAGAUGGAUGAGCCCGCGUUGGAUUAGCUAGUUGGUGGGGUAAUGGCCUACCAAGGCGACGAUCCAUAGCUGGUCUGAGAGGAUGAUCAGCCACACUGGGACUGAGACACGGCCCAGACUCCUACGGGAGGCAGCAGUGGGGAAUUUUGGACAAUGGGCGAAAGCCUGAUCCAGCAAUGCCGCGUGCAGGAAGAAGGCCUUCGGGUUGUAAACUGCUUUUGUACGGAACGAAAAGGCUCUUUCUAAUAAAGGGGGCCCAUGACGGUACCGUAA